rfam:Alligator sinensis unplaced genomic scaffold scaffold222_1, whole genome shotgun sequence
GGGAGCAUAGCUCAGUGGUAGAGCAUUUGAUUGUAAAUCAAAGUGUUUCCUAGUUCAAAUCUAGGUGCUUCCU